rnacentral:rRNA from 1 species
UACCAGCACCCCGAGUGGGCGGGACGUUUAUUGGGCCUAAAGCAUCCGUAGCCGGUUCUACAAGUCUUCCGUUAAAUCCACCUGCUCAACAGAUGGGCUGCGGAAGAUACUAUGGAGCUAGGAGGCGGGAGAGGCAAGCGGUACUCGAUGGGUAGGGGUAAAAUCCGUUGAUCCAUUGAAGACCACCAGUGGCGAAGGCGGCUUGCCAGAACGCGCUCGACGGUGAGGGAUGAAAGCUGGGGGAGCAAACCGG